AGUCUUAUAGUCAAAAUUAAUGAUUUUAGACUGCAAUUCUAAAGAAGUAGAAAUCUACUAAGACUU
rnacentral:tRNA from 1 species